UGCAAUGGUGGCAUCUGAAACAAGCUUUGUGGUAAACUUUGUUAUCAGCAGUGAGUUGAUCAACCAAGUAAACAGUCUUGUCACAAGCUUUGCACUUUUGGGUUGUUCCUAAAAAAGCCAUCUUCAUAAAUCUGAAGGAUUCAAAGAAGAAUAUGAACAGAAAAGAAAAGAAGAGAACUGAAGUAUGAAAGCUGAGAAGAAGUAGAAAAUGAGGGAGAUAUAAAGGGCGAGAGUG
rnacentral:misc_RNA from 1 species